rnacentral:miRNA from 1 species
AUGAAAUGAUUUGGUAUC